rnacentral:snRNA from 1 species
AUCGCUUCUCGGCCUUUUGGCUAAGAUCAAGUGUAGUAAAUAUUAAUCUCUUCUAAACCAUCCUCC